UGAAAAAGCUGCACAUGGCAGUAUAUUAGUGUAUCCUCUGUGCAUGUGAGGGGCUGAAGGCAGACAGAUUCUUAGGACAUAUUGGCUAGCCAGUAUUGCUCAAUCAAUGAGCUUCAGUUUCAGUAGAAUACUCAGUCUCAAAAACCAAGGAUUCUGAUAGAGGAAGAUAUAUAGAAACCUCCUCCUUCCAUGUGCAUAUAUACCAAUAUGUACAUAUGCAAACACUGUGAGCAGCAGGUAUACAAAACACACACACACACACACACACACACACUUGUACAAACCAAAAGGUUAUAACUCAGACCCAUGUGUAAUUUAAAAGAAUUGAAGCUACUAUUCUAUUACUUUUGUCCUAUGAAAUAAAAUAAUGUUCAUCAUAUUCUAUAAGCAGUUGUAAAAUUAUAAGGCCACUAUUAAAGUAGAAGACCUAUUUAUUUCAGUCACCCUGUUGCAUCUGAGCAUUCCCUCACAUCAGGGCUGUGUUCAGCAACCAUUUUUGGAGUGUUUGUGUAUUUUUUCUCCAGUUAGAAAUGCACAGAGGGCCUAAGUUGUAAAUCGACUUAGCAAAGCCCAUAGAGUAUAUCAAUAACAGAGAAAUGACGGGAAACAUUUGACUUCCAUUCUAAUUUUGAACUCCAAACCUGUGUAGAUAUUUAACCUCAUUUCUCCAGAUGCAUCUAUAUCAGAGUAUUUCAGCAUUCUGCCAAUGGAUGGGCACAGUGAUCUAGUGUGACAAAUCCUUGUUUCCUCUUCCCUUGUGCAGAGGGAAUUUGCCAUCUUCUGUGAUCAUCAGGCUGGCAACAUCAAUAUCUAAGUGUGUUAAUGACACUGACCUUAAUCUGUCACAUCACAAGCAAGUCUUCACAGCAUUAGGGGGUUGCUGCCACAUAAAGGCUUAAAAGUAGAAGGAACCCCAUAAUAAGCUGAUUAAAAAAUAAAUGUUUGAAUUCUUUAAUAAGUCCUCUCAGACAUCUGAUGUGAGGCAGAGUGAAGGGAAACAUCACAGAGUGUAGAGUGUGACAUCUGAUGUGUCAGAGAUUCCCAUUCUCAGACUGUGGUGCAUCCCUCACAGUUAACAGAAGCAAGGCCUGACACUGCCAUGAUCCUCUUUCAAAUGUCCUUUUGUUUUGUUGUUGACCCUAUUCAAUAAAUAAGUGAGAAGGUCAUUGGUGAGCAGGGUGAAAAGUGGGCAUCACUACAAUCAGGUCUCUUCCACUUUGCCCCAUGAAGAAAACCCAUUUCAUGUGUGCACCUGAAUCUUGAGUGCUAGGCACAAAUGUCUAAUUGUCCAAAAGAUCAUGAAAACCAGAUGUUCAGGGUCACUUGAAUUUCACAAGAGAGAAAGUGGACUCUCAGAAUGUCUUCGUCCUUAGGACAUUGGCAAUCAGGACCUAUAAAACUCUUUUAAAACACAAGUUUUCUCUACUCAUUUCAUCUACUAAAACAUGUACUUCACUACCUACUAUGAACUUAGAUUUUUACUUCAGAGAAACAUCUACCUUAAAAUAAGAAGAAAGAUGAAUUAAAGGGUAUUUCAGUACUUUGUCAUUGAUCAUUGUGAUGAAAGAAAACCUGGGCUACUCAAAUCAUGAAUUGUUCCAAGAAAAGCUUCCUUCAAGACAGGUUUUUGACUAGCCUCUAGAAUAUAGUCUCUGACAUCCUGAAAUAUUCUGCUUUGUAAGAGUAUUUUUAUAUGCUCAUACUAUGAUCCUCAGUGUAUCAGUUUGUCCAGAUAAUUUCUGUUACUUGGUGUUAUCAACAAUGAAUAUUUGUUUUUUGCCCUGGAAACCAACAACAAAUGUGUCUGAAGUCAAUUGUGCAACUACCCUGUGCCUGUAUAACUGGUCCUCAGUGAAAACACACCGGUGCUCAGUUGUUAUUGUCUCACAGUGCAAUCAUCAUUCAAAGUAGCGAGGAUAAAUGAAUAUUCUUUGAAGUUCCACAAAGUGAUUAUCCUUAGAAGUGUGCAACUGGUCUCCCUUGGACUUUGAUAUGAGCAUCCUUUCCCCUUGCACCUUUUAAUUUACAUUUUUUCUAGAAAAAAAAAGCCACAUUGUUCAUGAAAAAUGUAGCACAUUUUGAGUUUCUGCAUUUAUUUUAGUAAACCAUUAAGAUGUAGAGUAGUGAUGGGGUCCCUUAACACAGCAAUCCAUUUAUCUGUUUCAUCCACAGCCUGAGAAUGCCUACCCUGACAGAGUCAUUGUGCGAAUUGGAGACUCUAUUUCAUGAAGUCAACCAUCUUCAGGAUAAUGUUGUUGAAGGUUGUCACCUCUGUUGCUGGGAGCAGUGCUUCCAUCUUAAGGUUAUGAUACAUUCGAGUGAUCUGGAAGAAAGAAGAUUGCUUGGAAAUUGUAGGAAAUAUGCAGUUACUAACGCAGAAACUCACAGUGUUCCUGGAGCUCAAGGAUAUUCACUGACAACUCUACACUGACCCAUUGACAAAUACAGCUUCUCAUUGUUAACUUGAAAACCUCAGGAACUUUGUAGAAAAUGCCGCACUUGUGAAAUAUGAAAUUAGCUCCAAAUAAACUUCAUUGAACUUAAUUAAUAGCACAUAUUUAAUGAAAACCAUCUUUUCCCUGCAGAUCUUGGACUGUUGCUCAAAGCCAUGUCUGAUAUUUAAGAUAAGAUCAAAUCUCUUAUUAUUGUAAAUUGUUUCACAUCAAAUCAAAGCACAGACAAAUGCUCAAAUCUGUCUCUGUCAAGCCAUUUUUAUCCAUCCCUAUCUCAGCUCUAUCCACUGUUGAAAUCCUACAAGCAAAAAGCUAUUCUGAUAGGAGGAAUUGCAUUCACACUUUUCAUUCAUUUGUUUGUUUAAUAAACAUUUGUAACAGAUAUAACUUUGUUCUAUAUCCCAGGAGCAGAACAUGUAAGCUCUUGCCUCAGUGUAUUCAUCUUCCCUUUUAGGGACGGACAUAGGCUGUUGCUCACAAAGCAAGGGGGCUAACGUCUCAGACUCAAACCUUGAAACAUUUGUAACAUGCAGAGUCUAGGUGAGAGGCUGCUUCAUUUGGUAGUCAGCUAGCUCUCUUCUAUAUUCG
rnacentral:lncRNA from 1 species